UAAGGAAUAUUGGUCAAUGGAGGCAACUCUGAACCAGCCAUGCCGCGUGCAGGAAGACAGCCCUCUGGGUCGUAAACUGCUUUUAUUCGGGAAUAAACCUACUUACGUGUAAGUAGCUGAAUGUACCGAAGGAAUAAGGAUCGGCUAACUCCGUGCCAGCAGCCGCGGUAAUACGGAGGAUCCAAGCGUUAUCCGGAUUUAUUGGGUUUAAAGGGUGCGUAGGCGGCUUAUUAAGUCAGGGGUGAAAGACGGUGGCUCAACCAUCGCAGUGCCCUUGAUACUGAUGAGCUUGAAUGAACUAGAGGUAGGCGGAAUGUGACAAGUAGCGGUGAAAUGCAUAGAUAUGUCACAGAACACCGAUUGCGAAGGCAGCUUACUAUGGUUUUAUUGACGCUGAGGCACGAAAGCGUGGGGAUCAAACA
rnacentral:rRNA from 1 species